GAGUCGCAAACUUUGAUGAUAUCCUUGCAAAUUCAGAUGCAUUCAUGGUGGCACGAGGUGAUCUUUGAAUGGAAAUUCCAAUAGAAGAGAUCUUUUUGGCUGAGAAAGUGAUGAUCUAUAAGUGCAACAUCUAAGGAAAACAUGUUGUCACGACAAUAUACAGAUGUUGGAACUAGUAGUUGUUGAAUAUGUCGAUGAAUUGUACAAGUUCUACAAACUUGAAGAGGAUAACUACCGAGUUGGAGAUUACUUGGACAUUGAUCAAGUCUGGGUUGAAUGGGCAAGCAUGCUGUCAAGUUUCAGAUCACUAGUGUUGUAUGUCUGUGGUAGAUCAGUAGUUAGGAAUCAUUUUGUGCAUAUAGCUAGAACUCACUUUGGUGGCUGUAAUGAUUCAUGAUGAUAUUCAAAUAAAUAGACCAAUUUUUCUGAAA